rnacentral:lncRNA from 1 species
ACAAUCACCUUUUCUUCAUAAAUAUACAGCUUUAGGAAUAUUUCACCAUUCUUUAUAGGACAUAGUAGUCCUUGUCUUUUUUUCCCCUGACAUUGGAAAGAUGUGCUAAUUGAAACUUGACUUAGUAGGAACAUUGUGCCAACUCGAAACCUUGAUUUAGUAAAAAUCUCAAUGUUUAGAUCCUUUGUCCAGUGGUGGUGUUUAUCAGCAAAUGUAUUCAGCUUGCUCAGAAAACCAAAAGGGCAUUAAAGCCACAAAAGCAAAGAAGAAAAAAAAAAACUUCCCAUGUUUGGAUCUUGUUCUAGUUAGAAAAAUUAAGUUGAAAUUAUUGGACUUUUUCAUUCAUGAGGCAAAUGCUGUAAUACCUUGCCCUUUGACAGGUUUGGAUUCUUAACAUUACUAGUGGUAUUUCAGGAAGUGAGGUUACAGUUACUUUCCUUAUAGCGGCUAAGUGUAUUAAGUUGAAUGUAACGAUGGUAAUAUUAAUUUGUUUGAACCGAGGCCCACUACUGAUUCUUUGACAAAUUGAAUUCUUAUAUGUAAAUAAUUUUAUGGGAAUGUUCCAUCAUAAUUUCUAAAUUGUUUAUAUACCAAGGUAGCCUUAAUUUGUAUAUGUUUCAGUACAAUGAGAUUUUAUUGCCUCUGGGAUGCUGUUUAGUUUGUAUUUUGUUGAACGUUUUUAUCUUAGGAAGAGAAACCUAUGACUUGUGUACCUAGAUCAUCUGUUACAUUAAAAAGCUGCUUUCAGCAUUAGAGCUAUAAAUGAAUGUUAUCUUGUCGGGAAACAAUCUGGGUUUUAGCUGUAUGAGCUAUGUUUAUUAUGGUGCUAAUGUUCAGUAGCCACAUUUGACUAAUGUCUCCAUUCUCUAUGAUGCUGUGGCUGGCAGCAGAGCUCGCCAGUUCAUGCCUGGACAUACUGUCAGGGCUGGGCCCUCCAGCUAGCUCCUUUGGGGUUGAGUCCAAAUCUUUUUGAUGUGGAAGUAUAAAGCAAGUAUCUUGAUUUCUAAACCCAGCAAUUUUAGAAUUGACCUUUAUGAGUGAAGACUUUUUGGAGCUUUUAAAGACCUCGGCAGUCAUGAUCUCAAACCAAUUAGGAGCUCCAAGCUCCCUUCCCAGGUAACUGUUGGGAGCAAUGGCAUCACUGUAUGUAUGCCCUUGUAAUGGCUGGAAGGGACAUGAUCUUGUAAGUAGGAAAGCUGUCACUUAAAAUUGUAUUGUUUGCUUAUUAGCCAUGUAUCUCUUAAAAUUUUGUUAUGUUUACAACGAUGUACCUUAUUGGCAACAAGUUAUUAGUUUGAUGUUUAACAAUAGUGCCUUUAGUAAAUUAUUUUA